rnacentral:rRNA from 1 species
AAGGGGGCACCCCUGAUCCAGCCAUGCCGCGUGGUGUGAAGAAGGCUUUCGGGUUGUAAAGCACUUUCAGUGAGGAGGAACAGUUGGUCACUAAUAUUGGCCAGCCUUGACGUUACUCACAGAAGAAGCACCGGCUAACUCCGUGCCAGCAGCCGCGGUAAUACGAA